rnacentral:rRNA from 1 species
GACGAACGCUGGCGGCGUGCUUAACACAUGCCAGUCGAACGAAGUGGCGAACGGGUGAGUAACGCGUAAUCAACCUGCCCUUCAGAGGGGGAAAACAGUUGGAAACGAAUGCUAAUACCGCAUACUGAAGGAGGGGAUUGAGGCUGAUUAGCUAGUUGGAGGGGUAAAGGCCCACCAAGGGGAUGAACAGUAGCCGGUCUGAGAGGACGAACGGCCACAUUGGGACUGCGACACGGCCCAGACUCCUACGGGAGGCAGCAGUGGGGAAUCUUCCGCAAUGGACGAAAGUCUGACGGAGCAACGCCGCGUGAGUGAUGACGGCCUUCGGGUUGUAAAGCUCUGUUAAUCGGGACGCGGUACCGGAAUAGAAAGCCACGGCUAACUACGUGCCAGCAGCCGCGGUAAUUC